AACUAAUGCAGGCAUUGCUGUGAUCUGAGGAGUGACCAAAACUCCAAAACGGAGAGGACUUCAAAGAUCCAAGUAUCUUUUCCAAAUGCUGCCCAGAUGCCCUGCAGUGAUUACAAGCCCAUUGCUAGGUGCUUUGCAGCGAAUUCACUGAACGGACUUUUGCAAUUGGAUCUACCAACUUUCAUAUCAGACAAGUCAAAUACCUGACAGCAAGUGGAACAACAGAGAUAGAGACAGCUAGCGAGAGAGGGAAGA